rnacentral:lncRNA from 13 species
AAGUGUCAGGAAAAUGAAACAAGUUAAUCCUUGAGUGGUGACUGGUAAGCAGUAAGCUCUUGAUAAAUGUUAGUCUUUAUUGUUAUGAUUCUCCUUAUUUAUUAUUAUUAUUAUUAUUAUAUCCCACGGUUGAGGCAAGAAAUAAAAUUGAGGGGAAGAGAUUCUCUUAUGGAAUCUUUAUUUUAUUUUGACAUCAGCUCAGGAUCCAUCUACAGCCUUCUUUUGGGAUUUGGGAGUUCAGGAUUUUUUUUUUUUUUCAAAAGGCUCAAUCUGGUUCAAGUCUCAACAACUGUAUGUUUAGCGCGCGCGCGCGCGUGUGUGUGUGUGUGUGUGUGUGUGUCUUUAUUUUCCAUUUACUUCGAAAUUGAUAGAUUUCCAAUUUAGAGCAAGGGGGGAUCAGGAGGGAGAAGGAAAAUGGAGCUGCCCAUCAAAAUUAGCAGGGAAGUGGGUAAAGGUCAUUUGAUCACAGCUUGGCUGCGCUCUGAAUUAACCUGCAUAACAGAGACUUGUUGAGUUUGCAGCUCUUUCAGGUGCAUAUUAACACCAGGAGGAAGGCAAGGAGACACCCUGAGAGAAGGUCAAUUUGUGGCUGCUCAAAUCAGCAGGGCUCCUGGAGAAACUUGGCUGGAGAAGUCAGCUCCGGGACCUCAGGGUGGGGAGCAAGUGAGGAAAGUCCAGUCUAUGGAGGAGGGGAGGCCCGGGUGCUUCUUGGGGGCAGCUUCUGCAGUCUGGCUAACCUGUGAGAACCCUGAAAGUGCAGCUGGGAGGGACUUCCUGCAGAGCUGGAGCUACAACAGAAACAGAAUGAAAGAGAGAUGCAAGGAUCAACAGUGCUGUGGACUUUGUGAAUAUGAAUUUGGAGAGGGGCCCAAGAUGACUAGGAAGCAGCGGCUGAGGGCAGAGCUGAUGAAGCUGGUGCAGAGUCGGGGAAGGACACAGAGCACACCAUGGAUAGUUAGUGUGGCUUGCCCUCCUGAGGGCUGCUGUGUGCAGACUCUGCCCUCAGCUCUUCCCUGCAUUUUCUCACUUGAUCUGCACACACAUCCAAGGAGGAAACGUGAACUCUCUGGUUCAGGUCACUCCGCUUCAAGGUGCUGCGCUCGUCUGUGGGAAGUGUUAAGAAUAACAAGAUGGGGAGACAAGUCUUUGCCCCCAGGGAGCUUGCAGUGUGGUCGGACUGAAAUAAAGGUGACAAUGGCGGAAAGGACUCAAGUACCAUGGUUGUUGGUUGCAUGCUACUCUCCACGUGGGUCCCCCACUCAGCAUCCUUGGUUUCCAAAUCCCAGAGGGAUUCUUGGGGCAGCCUUAAUGGACUGAGAAAAUGGCUGAUCAUCUUCAGUGGACAGAAGUCUUCUAUCUGCUAUCUGGAGUACUCCUUGAACAAAGACAAUAAGGAAAGCGAAUUAAUAGUCCAAAG